rnacentral:rRNA from 1 species
GGGGAAUAUUGCACAAUGGGGGAAACCCUGAUGCAGCGACGCCGCGUGAGUGAAGAAGUAUUUCGGUAUGUAAAGCUCUAUCAGCAGGGAAGAAAAUGACGGUACCUGACCAAGAAGCCCCGGCUAACUCAC